CACGUAGGGGGCAAGCGUUGUCCGGAUUUAUUGGGCGUAAAGAGCUCGUAGGUGGCUCGGUAAGUCGGGUGUGAAAUUUCGAGGCUCAACCUCGAGACGCCACCUGAUACUGCUGUGGCUAGAGUCCGGUAGGGGAGCGUGGAAUUCCUGGUGUAGCGGUGAAAUGCGCAGAUAUCAGGAGGAACACCAGCGGCGAAGGCGGCGCUCUGGGCCGGUACUGACACUGAGGAGCGAAAGCAUGGGUAGCAAACAGG
rnacentral:rRNA from 1 species